UGUGCAAAGGACCCCUUUAAAGGACUGACCCCUGCCUACUUACGCUCUUUUAGUCCUCUCUUACUCUUCCUCACUUCUCUUACUUUUCUGUUCCCUGGGCGCUAAAACUCCCGGUGACCGCAGAGGCUUCCCAUCGCUUCCCAUCAUGGCUAAAGCUGUCUCAGGGCGGGAACCGCCUUCCACCUGGGAGUGUCCUGUUUUGUCUCUCUCCUGUUGAUCCCAGUUUAGCGUCUGCUCAGGACGCUCUGAGAGUUUUUCAUUUUUUCCCCCACAAAUGAGGUUUGAGGUUUUCGGAUUUUUCACUGCUCAGACCCACAAGGGGUCUCUCAGAUUUUAUACCCUGGCACUGGCCGUUCAUUCGUUUCUUAGAACUACAGUGGUCACACAUCUUUCUGCCUCACUCGUGGAGAAAAAAGGCCCCUUCUGCUGGCAGACGGAAAUGUGCCUAUAGAGGCCACCAUCUGGGCUAUCUUAACCAUGCGGCCUAGCUUGGGAACUGGUUUAUGGAAGCUGCCAUGUUUACCAAGUGACCUAGCUGUAGACAUGCCCACUUAGUCUAGCCAGGUUCUGCCAGCAAAGCCUGCUGGCAGAUACAAUUCAUUUACUUUUUGUCUCUUUUGCGCUUUUAUUUUUGUCUCUAAUUUCAUCUUUCACUGAUCCUGCUGCACAUGCUUGUUUAUGGAAUACUGUGCCUUUCCAGGGUCCCCUGUGCUAUCUGCAGCAAAUCUUCCUUCUCGUCACUGGCUGUCUCUUUAAAUCUGUCUGUUUGCUACAAGUGUGGAUCAACCGCUUUUACCCAAUCCUGUUUAAUGUAUCUAUAUGUAUGUGUAAAAAUAUAAGAGACAGGCCAGCUGCUGGCACCACUCCAUUUCCUCCAAGAAGACUGGUGGACAUUGAAGAAACUCAGGCCACAAAAGUGGCAACGCUGGCCACUAAGCCACCCUGCCCUUCACCUCAACUGCUUCAAAGGACUCUUCAGACAGUGAACAAGAGGACACUGGAAUAGACUUUCUCUACGUUGUUCGGGUCAAAGAUCCACAGAGAUGCCAGAGUUCCGCACAGCCUGCACUACAAUGGAACAACCAACUACUCAAGAUGUGACAACACCCCAACUUUCUCAAGAUUCCCCAAAGAUGGUCAACGCCCUCAGGCCUCAGGUCAGCAAGAAGCCGUCUUAAGACCUCAACGUCCUUAUUCCCUAACCUGCCACGUCUAACACCCCCACCUCUUUUUAAUCAUAAAUAAAGGUGGGAAU